GAUGCAACAGCAGUUAAAUACGUGGAUGGUGAAAGGCAACAGGCCCAUUGGUCACAGAAAGGAAUCUGUUCUCACUGCCCACCAAUCUGGGACCUUGAAGACCCGUAACAACAGAGUGCUAGUGUAACUUUAGUCCCUCUGUGACUGGAGGAAGUAAAGGAAGAGAGGAACUUUUGUUAAUACACCUUUUAAACCUGAACUACAACACACCAAGGAGAAGUAAAUGAGGGACGCUGGAAAGCCGAACCAGAGCGGAGGUCGUCUCGACUAGGGAGACACCAGAGUUGGCCGGCCUGGCUUCAGAACGCCAAACUAAGCAGCGGCUGAGUGAGUCAGUUCACAGCCCAAACCCUCUAAUUAGGUAGGAAAGUAUACACUCAUCCAGACCAGUUUAGGUCUCACCCGCAUGUUGCACGCAAUAUAUACGUUAUGUUUUCAUGAGCAGGUCAAUGUUUUUUUCUUUGUAUCUUAUGCUCUACUACUAGCAUUUGCAUGAGGACCUGAUGUUAUCACAUAACCACAGUUUUAUGCUUAGGUCAUGUCAUGCCAACUAAACUAUUUCCAUGACAAAUGAGCAAACUCCAGCCAUUGAUGAAGACUGUAAGAUGCAGUGGGGCAAAAACAGCUAUGUAGUCAGUGGACCUUGAGUUAAGAUGUUUUUGUCAAAGCUUAAAAAAUAUUUCAUGAGGGAAAGAAAUGCAUUCAACACGUUUCGGCCUGAAGGAUGCACAUAGUUACUUUUGCUGAGAAACUAUGCCUAUAAACAGGCCUGUGUCUGUUUACGAGGGAACUCCACAGGGUACUAAGUUUGAAGUCCGACAAUGUAACCUACACAGUUCCUCAGAGAUUUAGAUGCUUGGCAUGCCUGCAACAGUACAGACCACAGACAGAAAGCAUCACAGAAUAAAAAAAAAAAGCCCUAACCAUUUCAGAAUACCCGGUAGUUCUUACCAAAACAGCACGGUACUUUGUUCAGAGCUCCUGUCAGCCCAGUGGCAGGCACUUUCACCAGUCUAUCACUCAGUCAGCUUUCCAGCGUGCGUCCACUUUCUUCCUGAUAGCUCUCUUUUAACUCUCUGAUGCUAUCUAUUGCUCCAGCUAGCUAUCAUUCAAUCAGCCCUGCAGCCUAUCUUCUCCCUCCUCCACAACCUCCUCGACUCCCCCACAUCUCUGUCGUGGUUUCUCUCUCUCUCUCUGUCCUGUGAAUCGAUGAGUUACUGCUGUGCUGAAUGUCAGGCUGUCUGACCGAAGACACAUUGGCUGCCCGGACGCCAGGGGACAAGCGCUGACUUCAUGUCUCCACCUACAUUAGCAUGAUGGUUGUAGCAGUGAGUGUGUGUAUCGGUUUCUCUGCAUGCGUGUAUCUGAUGAGGAGACAAUUGAUUCUCACCAGUCACUUUAACUUUAUUCUUUUCACUGCAAUAGUGGAGCAGGGCAGGUAAAGGUCACAGGAGAGUCAGCUCAAGCUCAAUGCAUACACAGCACAAAUAUUGUGUUAUCGGCCCUCAUUUAUCAAUCUAACGUAGAAACCAGCGCAGAUAUGAGCGCAGA